CCUACGGGUGGCAGCAGUGAGGAAUAUUGGUCAAUGGGCGGAAGCCUGAACCAGCCAAGUAGCGUGCGGGAUGAAUGCCCUACGGGUCGUAAACCGCUUUUGCACGGGGAUAACACCUUCCACUUGUGGAGGUCUGCAGGUACCGUGCGAAUAAGCGCCGGCUAAUUCCGUGCCAGCAGCCGCGGUAAUACGGAAGGCCCGAGCGUUAUCCGGAUUCAGUGGGCGUAAAGGGAGCGUAGGCGGGUGUUCAAGUCAGCUGUAAAAUCGCGCGGCUCAACCGCGCGCCGCAGUUGAUACUGGACGACUUGAGUUCACAACAGGCAGGCGGAAUUCGUGGGGUAGCGGUGAAAUGCAUAGAUAUCACGAGGAACCCCGAUUGCGAAGGUAGCCUGCCGGGGUGCGACUGACGCUGAGGCUCGAGGGUGCGGGUAUCAAACAGGAUUAGAUACCCUAGUAGUC
rnacentral:rRNA from 1 species